rnacentral:lncRNA from 1 species
UAAAAAGCUCCUUGGAAAGGCUGGCCUGGUACCUUGUCUACAUUGUUUCCAUACAAGGUUCCUGACCUUGCAGUAAGAAAGAAUGUCACUUUCUGACCGGCCCAGGAACCUCAAGAUAUUUUGAAACCUCUAGAAAACAGAAAUUCACUCAGUUCAAAUCACUUAAAACCAAAAACUGUGCUUUUCUUGAAGCUCUGCACACUGAAGCUACACAACUUGAUAUAAAUGUUGGGAGAAAUCACCGGAGCAACUUAUAUAUAAGCAGCUUUUGUGCCAGCUGAUGUAUGAACUACUCAUAAAGUUCACUUGAACAC